GACGCGGUGACAUAAUGGUUAGCGCGUUGGACUCUGGAUCGAGCGUUCCAGGAUCGAGCCUUGGCCGGGGUCA